ACCAGCCUGCAAAAAAGAGCAGAGGUCUCAGGGGACACCAAGUAUUUGGAGGAAUCUUGAUUGUGUUUGGCUCCAAGGGAGGAGCGUAGGGGCAAAUUUCAGAGCCAGCAUUCUGCCCCAGGUUGGGUAUCAAAGAUGAUGCAAGGUGAGGAGAGAGGUGGAACAGAGGGAAACCUUUUAAGAGGGAAUCAAUGGCAUGUCAUGAUGAAAUGCAGGACAUGAUCAGAGGUCCUGAAGUGAGCUGGUUGGGAGAGUUUAGGAGCUUGGGCUGACUUGAAGAAAGGAAUGAUGAUGCUUUGGGUACUGAGAAAGUAAUUUUUUUUUUUACUUUAUUUUUUUAUUGAAGUAUAGUUGAUUUACAGUGUUUUGUUAGUUUUAGGUGUACAGCAAAGUGAUUCAGUUAUACAUAUACAUAUAUAUAUAUAUAUUUUUCCCCCCCAGAUUCUUUUUUUUUCCCUUAAAGGUUAUCUCAGAAGUCUCGAACUGUCCUCGUUUGUUUUCAUUCCUUUAUUCUGUUCCGUGGCAGUGAUUUCCACCACUGUGUAUUCCAACUCACUUAUCCAUUCUUCUGCCUCUUUUAUUCUGUUGAUUCCUUCUAGGUAUGUUUUUCACUUCAGUUAUUGUAUCCUUCCACUCUGUCUGGUUGUUAUCUUUUAUAACUCUUUAAAACUCUUUGUAACUUCUCUGUGCAUCUGUUCUUUCCCAUAUUCUUGGGUAGAUUGCUGAUCUCCACAUCAGUUAAGUUGCAUUUCUGAGGUUUUAUCUUGUUCUCUUGUCCGAAACAUAUUCCUGUGCCAUCUCAUUUUGUCUAAACUUCUGCGUGUUUUUCUGUGUAUUUGGAAGGUUAGUUGUGUUUCUCAAACUUGGAGAAGUGGCGCUUUACGGGGGCUGUCCUAUAUGUCUCAGCAGUACACUCCGCUCGCAUCACCCAGGGGCCAGAGGCUAGCUGGCGCCUUCCUGCUGGGAGGUGGGCCUGGGUCUUGGCUCUCUGGUGGGCAGGGCCAUGUUAUGGGUUGUGUCUACAGGUGGCUGUGGGUUCAGGAACUCUUUAGAGAGCCUGUCUGCUUAUGUCUGUGGCGGUGUUCCUGCUCUGUUGGUUGGUUGGCCUGAGGCUUCCCGUUCCUGGAGCCUAUGGGAUGUUGGGUAGGACCAGGUCUUGGUACGAAUAAGCCAAUAUGUUAGGCACCAGGAUUGUCAUGUGGUUGAACAUAACCCAGUAUGCCUGCCAUCAGUGUCUGUCCAGACAGUGAGCCACAGCUGACUCCUGUUUCCUCAGGAGAUCCUCCAAGACCCGCAGGUAGGUCUGAUGUAGGUUCCUGUGAAGUCACUGCUUUUACCCUGGGUUCUGCUUACACAUGACCUUGUGUAUGUCCUCCAAGAGUGAAGUCUUACUUCCCCCCCGAACUGUGGAGAGCCUACACUCCUGCUGGCUUUUGAAGCCAAAUCUCUGGGGGCUGCUACUCCUGAUGUCAGACCCCCAGGCGGGGAGCCUGAAGUGAGGCUCAGAACUCACUCCUGUGGGGAGAACUCUUGUAAUAUAAUUGUUCUCCAGUUUGUGGGUCACCCACCUGGGUGGAGGGAAUGUGAGAUCUGCUUGUAUCAUAAGUGCACCCCUUGAUCUUGUUGGGUUUCUUCUUUGUCUUUGGAUAUAUAGUACCCUUUUUAGGUAGGUUCCAGUCUUUUUAUUGAUGGCCGUUUACCAGUUGUGAUUUUUGUGUGCUCAUGAGAGGAGGUGAGCUUAGAGUCCUUCUACUCUACCAUCUUGUCCCCCAUCUGACUUGAAUGAGGAAGGACGAACCUCUGGAGCGGAGAACUAGGUCACUGGGGGACCAGGAAGGAAGGAAGCAUUUCAUGGUUCCUUUUGACUAACAGCCAUUACUGCAGCCUAUUAAAAACAUUUAGAAACAGUAAUGUGUAGGUACAGGAGAGAGAGGUGCAUAGGAGAAAACCAAAGCUCAGGGAACAUAAGCACUGACAAUAAAAUGAGACCCUGAGUGCUGGACCACCACCACCCCACUGAAACCCUCCCACUCACCAUCGCUAACACGCUGAUAAAUGAGGACCACAUCUGCCACCUGCAGAGAGAGUUCAUCUGGCUGCUUGGCAGUAAAUGACCGAAUGAUUUCCACUUGGGUCAGUGCUGAGGGGGAAAGAGGACAUAAUGAGAAACGCAACAAGGACAAAUCAAUAAUUUGCAUUCAUUCAGCCACCAUGGAUAGAAAAAAGGUAGGCUUCCAAAAAGAAGCAGAAAUUAGUUUCCCUUACUUGGCCACGAGCUUCAGAGUUAGAAGCUCAGAAUCAAGAGAGGCCUUUUAUGAUACAUGAAUCCCCUCAAAAUUAGCUUUGAUAAGUCAUUAGAUACAUCACACAAUACAACCGGAAACAGCCACUGGGGAAACUGAGGCAAGACAGAAUGGGUAUGUGCCAAGGCCAUGCAGCUGAGGAUAAAACCCAGAAUCUGUGCGGUUCUCCUGGCUCUCACCCAGGGUGCUGCCCCAGCCCACCCAGCAGCACCUGAGAGCUGCCCGAGAAGGGUAGAAAUAAAAGAAGUUCCAGCCAAAUGUUAGAUCCUAACAAUCUUUUACUUCAGUGACUUGCUCCUGGCUGACCUAAGUUCUUACUUUGUUUUUUAAUAUGAAACUUGAUUCCAGAGAAAUUUCAAGCCAGUCCCUUUAGCUUUGACUUUAAGCUGUGAUUUGUGAGUGCUCCAGGAGAUCCAGUUUUGUUGCCCUGGUCCUUUGAAUUUGCACUUCCAGCUAGAAUCACCCAGAGCAGCGUAACGUCAAAGCAACAUGCUUAGCACAUGGCACUGCCCUUCACUGUGUCAGCUAGGGCCCCCUAGAAAAAUAAAAUAUUUCUAAUAUUAUUUAAUAACAAAAAGUCAAAAGGAAGGGUAAAGUGAUUUACCUUAAGGUUAAAAAUACACUUUAGUAUGGAGAAGGUCUAAACAUGCUAUUACUGCCCACUGACAAACUAGAAAUGUAGGAGCUUGACAGUACAAGCAAGGCGGUCACUGUGAAUUUAACUUUACUCUCACUAUCGUAUGUAAUGAUGCCCCUGACUUGCAGGCGAUUUAGAGACUCAGGGAGGCUAUGCAAUGAUCUGCCACGUUACAGAGCAAAGAACUGCACUUCAGGUUGGAAUCUGUCCCCUUGUCUUCCAAAGCGGGGUGCAUCCAGUGCCGAUGUGGGGCAGCAAGGGGGAAACCUUGGGACCUUACUAAGCGGGUAGUGUGGCAUUUAACCACUGACAACCCAGCAACCAGCAGGGGGCAGAGCUCUCCAUCUUUCAGACUGGCAGCCCUCCGGCUACUUACAGGUCCGAUCUGGAGGCUGCUUCCCACUGCUGUGUCCCAGCGCAGUUAUCCAACGGGCUCGCUCACUCCUAAACGCAGAGAACAUCCAGUUGAGAGAUUCAACAGUGCUUAGACACAGAAUGAAGUAUGUUCUAGAAUGUAAAGGCUUCUUUUCCCCCAAAACAGGGCAGAGAUUCUCUAGAAAGGUUCAACGAGAAUUUCUAAAGUACAAAGGCAAUUGAAAACUAAACAGUAUCUUAAGGAUAGAAGCGCUGUUUGCCAAGCAUAACCUGAAAUGAUCCAUCUGUGUCUCCACACGCCAUAUCCAAACCCAUCUGGCUCACCAUGGCAUCUUCACACGGCCCUUACCGCCGUCUGCAGUCCUCAGCGUGGACCCUUCUCUGGCCCUGAGUGACUGGUCCCAGCAGCAGCCUCACCCUGCAGCCGGCUUCCAGAAGUCCAGAUGAAAUCUUUCUCCUGUGGCACACUGCCUGGAUGCUAAUGGCAUCCUUUAGACACAGCGGCCCCUCACAGGGACUCCAGGGCACAGAACAAGACACUCCUUGUUGCCUUGCUGAAAGGAGCCGCUUCUUGAAAGGGCUUCAAUGGGAUCAGCCCCACCCCCUCUGAGAUGCCAUCAAAACCGCACGACAUUACCCGGGGCUUCCACAAACUGUGCCAAGGAGCUCCCACCCGUCGUGAGGCGGAAAGCGCUGCAUCUCUAAAGCUGGGAAGAGACUUGGUCCACGUAAAAUGGAAUUCUAAGAACAAGAAAACCCUGAGCAUAGACAUACCCAUUAUUAAAUUUAGAUAUGAGGUCCAGGGCGCUCACAAGCAGACAGCUAUUUUCUCUAGGGACAAUGAGACAACACAAAUUAACAGUCCACACCACACCUAGUUCAUUGAGAUUUCCCUCUGCCCAAACAAAGUGCCAGAAUCAACAACCAAUCCCGCUAAUGGAGACCCAGGGCAGGUCAACUUUUAAGGCACUUCUGACCCCUCCUUUCAACCAGCAUUCACCAAGUCCCUGCCUUUGCAGGAGCCCUGCGGUAGGCAGGGGUUGCUAAGUGAGUAGUAAGGAGUCUCUUGCUCUUCACAGCCAUCAGUGAGGGAUCAGAGCAAAAGACAAACAGAAUCCAAUGCAUCCUGCAUUGUGCUGGGAUGGCACCUUCUCCGUAAAACCCAUCUGACCGGGAGAGAAAGGAGACCGAGCUGAGGAGAGACCCCUUUGACAUAGAUAUCUGGAAACGCAGUCCUUUCUAUCUGCAUGGCAUGAAAGGAUGCACCUCCAGUUCUUCCCCACUCAGGAGUCAGCCAUCGUAGCACCAUGACCUGUCCCUUACGUGAUUAUGCAUAGGUUUAAACUUAAUUGCACAAAAGUCAAAGAUACAGCCAAGCUGGACUUUCAUUGACUAUCAGGCAUCUGCUAGAAAAGACGGAUACAUCCCGAGAAAAUGGAAAGCACUGUUUGAAACGGGCAGGAGUGUGGAUUAGGUGGAAGGGAAUGAAUGUGCCCACAGAGGGCUUCACUAUUGGAGGGGGUCAUCCUGGUCUUUCAAUAGAAGCCCAGAGACUUCAGCUGCUGUUUGACCUUCCUUUAUCUCUCUUAAAAUGGCAUUUGACCAGACACCUUUUGUGCUCCUUCUCACAGCCUACAAAUUUACCAACAGUUCCUUUUGAAACUCCUGUACCCAUGGCCUUUGGAGAAAAAGUCCCCUCAGCCUUCCUAAGGUGAUCAUGGAGACCACUGUUUCUGUUCAUUCUCUCACACAUUCAGUUCAACGAGAUGAAUUCAACGUGUGAUCCAGAGAAAACCCACAGGGCAGAAAACAUUCUCAUGAAUGCUAUGCAACAAAGCCUUAUAAAGCUGUACCAGCUCAAUUUAUUUAAAAAAAAAUCUAACCAAAGCAGUUGCCCUUGCUCACUAAGAGUUUUUUAAAAUUUAUAUUCUGUGACAUGCUAUAUAGUUAAAUCAGUUGUUUCUUGUCUGUCCUAUCAAACAGCUCAUGAGACCUAGUCUGGUCCACAAAUCCUAGGGUUAAUUUGAAGUGGAUCAGCUACUACCUGUUUCCUUUAAAAAAAAAAAAAAAAAGACCAACGCCAUCACCUGCUCUCCUUUUCCUGGAUAUCAGUGAUGAGGAAUCACCAAAGUUUAAGUAUCCUGAUGGGCACCUACAAAUGUAAAAGAUUAUUAGACGUAGGUU